GCAUCUGCCUUCCGCUCAGGUCAUGAUCCCAGGGUCCUGGGAUGGAGCCCUGCAUUGGGUUCCCUGCUCAGUGGGGAAUCUGCUUGUCCCUCUCCCUCUGCCUGCCAUUCCCCUGCUUGUGAUUUCUUUUUCUCUCUGUGUCAAAUGAAUAAAUAAAAUCUUUAAGGAAAGAAGAAAAACCAGGAAUACAAAUGUAAAAGUCUUAGUCAACAAGAAAUAUACAGAAACAAUACAUAGACAACAACAUUCUUAGUGAGAGACAUCAAAGAAGACACGAAUAAUUUAAGAGAUACACCUACCUGAGAGUGGGAUGACCCCCUACUUAUGGGUGUCAGUCAUUCCCACAUUAAUUGUUGAGUUGCAAUUCUGUUAAUUCUGUGUCAAUGUUUUUUUAAUCAAGAUUAUACAUAUACACCGGAUAACAAUCAUCCCCAAAUUAAUGGCUCUGUGCAUUUCUUGUAGCUAUAUUCUAAAGAUAGGUCUUUUAAUUGAGAUGACACAUGUUCUUGGUUAAAAAAUCAAAUUAUACAGAAAGGUUUAUAAAGAGACACGACUGUUUCUUGCUUCAUCUUUCCCAGCCUGGGCCCCGCUCUUUGGAGACAGCCCUUAGAGACACAUCUAGCUCUUCUUCUGAAGGUUGCCUCCGUAUUUUGAAGUAUGUUUUGCUGCAAUUUAUAGACUGAUCAAUUUUGGACAUUAAUUAUUGACCUCCUGCCAUGACCGAUGGAGACUUUGUUCCCCUCCACCGCUUCUCCAUCUCUCCCCAGUGGCCCAGUAUAAUAAUAUCACUCCAUUUUUUCUCUGGGUUACAUUUGUCACUUUUGGAGAGAUCUGCUUGGACUUUAUUUCCACUCCGUCGUCUGAACUUGGAUGUCUAUGUUGUCAAGGUGGAGGAGGUUUAUAUUGUGUUCUUUGAUCCUGAAGUCUCCUUGUUUGAUUUUGGCAGCUGCCUGGGUCCAUGGGUCCCUGUCACAGCACAAGUGCAGCUCAAGGUCCCAGGCUCCAACAAAGAGUCUGAAAAAAGAAUCAAGUGGCCUCUAAUCAUUCAGUCCAGACAUGGGCCCUGACUGAGGAAAAUUAGCACCAGCCACAAGCAAAACCCACUGGAAGGAGUGAAGGAUAGUGUAAUUGACUCCUUCUGGCCUCAGUUUCCUCGUGGAAAAUGGAACAAGAAUGGUUCUUAAUCUGGUCUGGGCUCAAACCUGACUCUGCCCUUUCAGCUGUGACCUUUAGGUCAGCCCCUUCCUUGCUCUGAGUCUCAUACCCUUCACUGGUCUCUGAGUAGCAGAUAAGGAGAUGUAAGCAAAAGGGCACACGGAAGCUACAAGCCAAGAGCCAUGUGGAGGUGAGUGGCUAUUCUUCCAGAAUCUGGUUUUAUUUGACUCACAUUGUUUCUCCCAGCCACCAUGACAUUUUGGCAUGGUCAUGAACCAUUAGUGGUUCAGGAGUGUGGCUCAGGAUCCAGACAGCUGUGUUGAAUCUUGGCUCUGCUAAUCACCAGCAGUGGGAUCUGGGCAAGUAGCUUAUCCUGCAUGUCCCCUGGAGUUCUCUCCCAUAAAUGGGUCAGUAAUAGAAUAAUCUCAGUGGUAAUGGUGGGGAGUCAGUGAGUUACUAUACAUAAUGGCUUCAAAGUGUCCCCAGUAGUAAUCUCAGCCCUCAAAAGAUGCUCAAUGUGACUCUAGCAGUGGUGUGGGGAAAAGGUAGGAAUAGUGACCAGGGGGGCAUCCAAGUGCAGAGAAUAUGCUGAUUCCUGAUCUGGGUGCUAGUUUCACAGGUAUAUUCUGAUAUAAAAACUCAUAGAGCUGUGUGUGGAAGAUAUGUACACUUUCUCUACAUCAUGCCUCCACAAAGGUGUGUGUGUGUUUGGUGCUUAGGAAUUAGCAAAAUUCUUAGGAAAACUCCAGACUCUCACAGGCUGUGGAACCGGUGUGGUACAAGCCAAAUAUCUAAGCAGUAAAGGGCUUCCUAGGUUAUAGGAGCCCAGCUUGUCUGGAUUGUAGAUUGAAUAAAUAGAAAACUACACUAAGGUAUAGAUGUGAU
rnacentral:lncRNA from 12 species